CUCAAGGGGGGUUGUCAGGGCCCACCAUGCUGGAGCCAAGAGAUCAUUUAUUCCCAUGCGUGGAUGGUUAUCACCGCGCACCUGCUCUGUGUCAGGCCCUGGGCAGGACUCAAGGACAACAGAGGCCGCAGACCUAGCCUCCUACUCUGAGGGACCGACUCAGUGAGGCCUCACCAGGACUCACCGUAGAACCUAACCAGGAUCUCCUAGGACCUUACCAGGACCUAUCAGGACUUUACUAGGCCUCAUCGGGACCUCACCAGGACCUCACUAGGCCUUAGCAGGCCUUACCAGGCCUCAACAGGAUCUCACCAGGCUUUACCAGGCCUCAAAAAGACCUCAUCAGGGCCUAGUGAGGCCUCACCAGGACCUCACCAGGUCUUCCCAGGACUCCACCAGGACCUCAUGAGGCCUAACCAAGCCUUCCAGGCCUCAACAGGAUCUCAUCAGGCUUUACCAAGCUUCAACAAGACCUUACUAGGCUUCACCAGGCCUCGCCAGGACCUCAUGAGGCCUCAUCAGAACCUUGCCAGGCUUCACCAGGACCUCAUCAGAUCUCACCAGGACCUCACCAAGACCUCACUAGGCCUCACCAGGACCUCACCAAGACCUCACCAGGCCUCACCAAGACCUUAUCAGAUCUCACCAGGACCUCACUAGGCCUCACCAGUACCUCACCAAGACCUCACUAGGCCUCACCAGGACCUUAUCAGAUCUCACCAGGACCUCACUAGGCCACACCGGGCCUCACCAGGACCUCAUCAGGACCACAGGAGACAAAGUAUCUGAAGAAUGAGAUAGAAAACCAUGUGAAGAGCAGGAGGAAGAAGAAUGGAGUGAGGACUCAGCAUAUAGCAGCCUCUUAGCAAUCCCACAGGGAGGCAGCUGUCCCUGCUUGGCAGAUGCAGAAACUGAGGUCAGCGAGGUUGUGGCCUGACCUCCACUGGGCCACCCAGCCUAGCAGCAGCAGUUCUGGACUUCCUGUCCCACAAUGUGCCACCCUGUGGUGGGGGCCCGACCCCAGUGAGGACAGGGUUUUCUUGCUCUGGACACUGAAGACCCAGCACAGACCCCCCAAGUCUGCCGAUCUGGGGACAGAGGUGGUGAAUUGGGUCCUGACAUGCUGCAGCCUCAGGGAGGAGGGCUGAGGACUGGCGUCCUGGGCACAGAGGACCAGGCCCGCGUGGGACCCUUGCUGCUUGAGAAUGUCGAUCAUUCACCCGGGGGCUCUCGGUGACGGGCGCGGCAGCCACCUCCUGCACCUGGAGCAUCUGCGGAGGCAUCUGCAAAUGAAGUGUGUCAGCUUUCAAAUGCACCACAUCCUCUCACCCCCAGCCCCCCCAGGCUGGUGGCCCCCUGCCCUUGGGGUCUGCCCCAGCUCUGCGGGGCUGGGCCGCCUCUGGCCGGGCCCAGGCUCCAAGAGAGGAAGCGGCCGUGGGAGCGCAAACCCCGUGUUCAAGUCCCAGUCCUGGAGCCUUGCACGGCCCCAGGGCCACGUCCCUGGUGUCAUCUGUGCCCUGAGAUGCCAGUCCCACCUGCCUAGAGGUGAGGAAGUGGGUGGGUCCCGGAGCAGAGCCUGCGCACCAGGCAGGAUGCAUGCGGCAGUCGCUCGAUUCUCCAACGCUUUCGAGGCGGUGGCCCUGGGCAGCUGUGGUCCCUUCUACCUGAUUUUAUUUCUUUAUCCAUGAGAGACACAGAGAGAGACCCAGGCAGAGGAGAAGCAGGCUCCCCGCGGGGACCCCGAGGCGGGCUCGAUCCCGGGAGUGAAGGCAGACGCCAACCGCGGAGCCACCCAGGCGUCCCAAUCCUCAUGACUUUUGUACAAGGGGGUCCUGCACUUUCAUUUUGCACUGAGUCCUACAGACUGUGCAGCCAGCGCUGUGCACGGGGCAUGGACCAUCAGCUCAUUCUCCGCGUUGGCAGGCCUGGACACUGAGGUUUGGAGGUGCCCAUCAGCUCCGACUGCAAAGAGGAAGAUGGAUGGGGCCAGCCUGGCUGACGCCUCUUUAUUGUGCGUGGAGGUAGCCAAGUGCUGUAUCUGAGUUUGGGGAAAUUAGUUCCAACAGUUUUCCUUGAAUCAAUAAACAACCGUUCGCCUCCCCAGAAGAGCCCCUUCCAGGGGCUCCUGCCCGCAGCGGGAACGUUUCCUCAGCACACG